GAUGAACGCUGGCGGCGUGCCUAACACAUGCAAGUCGAGCGGAGAGAGUCGAGUAUUCGUACAAAACUCUCUUAGCGGCGGACGGGUGAGUAACACGUGAGUAACCUGCCCUUCUUCUGGGGAAUAACACAGAGAAAUUUGUGCUAAUACCGCAUAAAGUCACGACUGGGCAUCCAGAUGUGACCAAAGGAGCAAUCCGGAGGAAGAUGGACUCGCGUCCGAUUAGGUAGUUGGUGAGGUAACGGCCACCAAGCCUACGAUCGGUAGCCGAACUGAGAGGUUGAUCGGCCACAUUGGGACUGAGACACGGCCCAGACUCCUACGGGAGGCAGCAGUGGGGAAUAUUGGGCAAUGGGGAAACCCUGACCCAGCAACGCCGCGUGAAGGACGAAGGCCUUCGGGGUGUAAAGUUCUUUUAUAUGUGAGCAGUGCUUCUUAUAUUAACAGUAUGGGGAGAGAGAUAUUAGCAUAUGAAUAAGCAACGGCUAACUCCGU
rnacentral:rRNA from 1 species